UUAAGGGUAAAAAAUUGAGAAUGGAUCUCCUAGGAGAGGAAGGAGAGAGAAUGGUACAUCUGAAGGAUACAAUUUAUCAUUUUAAACAUCGAUGAACAAACUGAGGCACGAAGGUGAAAUGGUUGUUCAGCAAGAGAGCAGCAGGGGAGACAGGAAAAGAAGCCAGAUUCCCAACACCGCUCUCGGUUUACUAACUUGCUUUGCCCUUGCUCAGGUGGAGUCUUGAGCACAAACUCUAUUAACAACUGCUAGGAAAGAAGCUAAUUUUCGCUCUGGCCCCCUUACCUUGGAUUUCUGAGUUACAGCACGGACCUGGAGCCACAGCAUCAAACACAGAGAGGCCGAAUCCCACCUUUGCCACAGGAAAGUGAACAAUGCUGCUCUCUCUGCUUAGCCAUGCUGCCAAACUGCCAGAGGACAAGGCUGGUGGAGGAAACUGCCCUUUGCUACAAAAAUACUUUGUAAAGUCCACAAACAAUGGAAAUGGACCUUAACAGGAACCAAAGGCAUAUUACUGAUUCCUCUCUCUCUAUUGUUCUGUGUGCUUUGAUUUGGACCAGGAGCAAAUUAUACACACUGCAACUACCUGAUUCCUGGAAGUCUAUCUGUGUGUCACUACCAGGGAUUUUCCUUUUCUACUCACCUGCAUUCAUUUACUGGAUAGGAUACUGAAAGGCAAAGAACCACAUAUGUGGCUCUGAAACUGAGGCUGCAACCAUGCAAACACAUACACACAGGCAAUGCUGAAUGCAGCUACAGAAGAGCAAGUGCCAAAGACUUAGGAGCAGCUGGCCCUGAAUUUUGGCCUCAACACAGCAUGUGAAAUUGAACAUAUGUGUGGACUAGGUUUGACUCCCUUCAGAUGCUUCUGGAACAUGAUAAUGUCUCACUGGGAAGCCCGUGACAGAGAUGAGAAGAGAGCCCAGAUCAUCAGGGCAUCGUCGAGCUGCCACACAUGCACGGUCAUCUCCCCAUCUUCUGCAGUCCCUGACUUGUUCAGCACAUCUUUCAGCCUCUGUAGCAAGCGGCAACUGUUUCCUUUGCUACCAAAUCCUGAUUCAGUGCUUGAUGAAUCCACGCUGUUUGUAGAAUAAAUUUCUCUGAUAAAAUAGUAGAUAAAUGUAAGCAAGCCUUUUAUAAUUAGAGAUGUGGAUGGGAUUCAGGCUUUCUGUUCAUGUUGCAUAGGAAAUUCUGUGGUUAACAAAUGUUGAACGUGCUUCUCAAAUGUGUAUAAAGCAAGGUUUCAGAAGCUGAUUUGUUUGUUUUGAUCUCAACUUUUGGAGCUAUUUGCAGUUUUCUAAUAGUGGAUUUAUUUCAAAAUA